GAUAAAGAAGAAGGAGAGAGCGAUAAAGAAGAAGGAGAGAGAGAUAAAGAAGAAAUAGGGGAAGAGGCAUUCAAAGGGACGUGAAAGCCAAUCACUGCCUGGAGAGGCCGCGCAUUCG
rnacentral:rRNA from 12 species